rnacentral:rRNA from 1 species
UGGGGAAUUUUCCGCAAUGGGCGGAAGCCUGACGGAGCAAUACCGCGUGAGGGAGGAAGGCUUUUGGGUUGUAAACCUCUUUUCUUAGGGAAGAAGAAAGUGACGGUACCUAAGGAAUCAGCAUCGGCUAACUCCGUGCCAGCAGCCGCGGUAAUACGGAGGAUCCAAGCGUUAUCCGGAAUCAUUGGGUUUAAAGGGUCCGCAGGCGGAUUGUUAAGUCAGAGGUGAAAGUUUGCCGCUCAACGGUAAAAUUGCCUUUGAUACUGAUAGUCUUGAAUCAUUGUGAGGUGGUUAGAAUAUGUAGUGUAGCGGUGAAAUGCAUAGAUAUUACAUAGAAUACCGAUUGCGAAGGCAGAUCACUAACAAUGUAUUUACGCUGAGGGACGAAAGCGUGGGUAGCGAACGGGAUUAGAUACCCCUGUAGUCC